AGUGAACGCUGGCGGUAGGCCUAACACAUGCAAGUCGAACGGCAGCACAGUAAGAGCUUGCUCUUACGGGUGGCGAGUGGCGGACGGGUGAGGAAUACAUCGGAAUCUACUUUUUCGUGGGGGAUAACGUAGGGAAACUUACGCUAAUACCGCAUACGACCUACGGGUGAAAGCAGGGGAUCUUCGCACCUUGCGCGAUUGAAUGAGCCGAUGUCGGAUUAGCUAGUUGGCGGGGUAAAGGCCCACCAAGGCGACGAUCCGUAGCUGGUCUGAGAGGAUGAUCAGCCACACUGGAACUGAGACACGGUCCAGACUCCUACGGGAGGCAGCAGUGGGGAAUAUUAGACAAUGGGCGCAAGCCUGAUCCAGCCAUACCGCGUGGGUGAAGAAGGCCUUCGGGUUGUAAAGCCCUUUUGUUGGGAAAGAAAAGCAGCAGGUUAAUACCCCGCUGUUCUGACGGUACCCAAAGAAUAAGCACCGGCUAACUUCGUG
rnacentral:rRNA from 1 species